rnacentral:rRNA from 1 species
GACGAACGCUGGCGGCGUGCUUAACACAUGCAAGUCGAACGGAAAGGCCCUGCUUUUGUGGGGUGCUCGAGUGGCGAACGGGUGAGUAACACGUGAGUAACCUGCCCUUGACUUUGGGAUAACUUCAGGAAACUGGGGCUAAUACCGGAUAGGAGCUCCUGCUGCAUGGUGGGGGUUGGAAAGUUUCGGCGGUUGGGGAUGGACUCGCGGCUUAUCAGCUUGUUGGUGGGGUAGUGGCUUACCAAGGCUUUGACGGGUAGCCGGCCUGGGAGGGUGGCCGGCCACAUUGGGCCUGAGAUACGGCCCAGACUCCUACGGGAGGCAGCAGUGGGGAAUAUUGCACAAUGGGCGGAAGCCUGAUACAGCAACGCCGCGUGCGGGAUGACGGCCUUCGGGUUGUAAACCGCUUUCGCCUGUGACGAAGCGUGAGUGACGGUAAUGGGUAAAGAAGCACCGGCUAACUACGUG